rnacentral:tRNA from 1 species
GGAGCUGUGGAUCAGUGGUAGAACAUCUGGUUGGCUUGCAGAAGGUCCCAGGUUCAACCUCUGGCAACUCCA